rnacentral:miRNA from 1 species
GAACACAAUUAUAGGAAUC